rnacentral:ribozyme from 13 species
UCACAAUUGAAGAAAGAGCUAUAAAUGAGAAAGAGAAAAAGAGACGCUAAUCAAAACUGAAGUCCUUGCUACCCCCCCUCAACAUACAUGUUGCUCGUUGUGCUAACUUUUGUUCUUUGUGCUUCUUUUUGUUGCUAC